rnacentral:rRNA from 1 species
UACGUAGGGGGCUAGCGUUGUCCGGAAUCAUUGGGCGUAAAGAGCGUGUAGGCGGCCCGGUAAGUCCGCUGUAAAAGUCAAAGGCUCAACCUUUGAAUGUCAGUGGAUACUGCCGGGCUAGAGUCCGGAAGAGGCGAGUGGAACUCCUGGUGUAGCGGUGGAAUGCGCAGAUAUCAGGAAGAACACCGAUGGCGAAGGCAGCUCGCUGGGACGGUACUGACGCUGAGGCGCGAAAGCGUGGGGAGCGAACAGG